UUGUACUCUUGUGAUGGGUUUGCCUCCCCAUCCAUCGUUCAGUUGAGCCCUUGAAAGAAAUGUUUCGCAUUUAAAGAUACUGAAGCAAGCAUUAGAUAUGAAGAAGCAAGUUCACUUACGUUCAUUGGCACGUCGGAGCAACACGCCCAGGUCUUUCCCCGAACCCAGGUCGGCUGCAGCUGGCCGGUUUUCGUGUCUGCGGUCAGCUGCCUCGCCGGCUUUGUCACCAGCGCCUGGGUUCUCGAAACAACCGACCUUACAAGAUAUUUAAGACCUUGUGAAACCUGCCAGUGAAACCUGCGAAACCCAGCAUUGUCAAAAAGGACGAUGGGUAUGUUAUGCAUUCUACAGGCUCGUGUAUUAAGUGAACGUGAAACUCCCCCAGAACCUGACGUUAGUUAUGACUGAAAGUUUCAAGGCAGGUUAGCGUGCCGGUUACGUAUCCUGUACAGUCGCUCGACCCA